rnacentral:rRNA from 1 species
UAGGGAAUCUUCGGCAAUGGACGGAAGUCUGACCGAGCAACGCCGCGUGAGUGAAGAAGGUUUUCGGAUCGUAAAGCUCUGUUGUUAGAGAAGAACGUUGGUAGGAGUGGAAAAUCUACCAAGUGACGGUAACUAACCAGAAAGGGACGGCUAACUACGUGCCAGCAGCCGCGGUAAUACGUAGGUCCCGAGCGUUGUCCGGAUUUAUUGGGCGUAAAGCGAGCGCAGGCGGUUCUGUAAGUCUGAAGUUAAAGGCAGUGGCUUAACCAUUGUACGCUUUGGAAACUGGAGGACUUGAGUGCAGAAGGGGAGAGUGGAAUUCCAUGUGUAGCGGUGAAAUGCGUAGAUAUAUGGAGGAACACCGGUGGCGAAAGCGGCUCUCUGGUCUGUAACUGACGCUGAGGCUCGAAAGCGUGGGGAGCAAACAGG